GUCCCAGUGUGGGCAGGCUGUACCCACACCCUUGCCUGCCUAUCUGAUUCCCCAGACUGAAGUGGGGGCCUCUGAGGGGGUAAAAGGAUGUGGUCUUUCAGGACUGCUUGGCCUUUAGCUUGGUGGGUAGAGCCUGUAUCCUACCUUGUUUUAACCCAGGAGUCACCCCAAAAUAUGGGGGGGACACAAACUGAAAAGGGAGGCUCAGACGUGUCAGAACCGUUGGCUGAGUCGUGGGUCAGGGGACCAGGGUUUCCCUGGAUUCUUCCUGGGGAGAUGGACGGGGAGCCAGAGAUAACUCCCUGAUGGGCAGAUGCCCUCCUUCCUGGCCCAACUCCUGUCCCGUUACAGAUUAUCUUUGUCUUUUGUUUUGUUUGUUUGAGAUGGAGUCUCACUCUGUCACCCAGGCUGGAGUGCAGUGGCACGGUCUUGGUUCACUGCCACCUCUGCCUCCCCGGAUCAAGACCCUCCCACCUCAGCCUCCAGAGUAGCUAGGAUUACAGGUGUGCGUCACCACACCUGGUUAAUUUUUUGUGUAUUUUUAGUAGACUCUGGGUUUCACCAUGUUGGCCACACUGGUCUCGAACUCCUAACCUCAAGGACUGGGGGAACUUGGAUGUUGGCAGAAGUGGGCUGGUUUAAGGUUCCCCACCUUCCUUGUUCCACCUCCAGCCUCUGGGGAUGUAGGUACCUGCCUGGGAGAGUGACAUCUCAGCUCGUGCCCCACGCCCCAGUGUGAUUUGUGGCUGGCCUGUCUGUGUGAUUCUGGGCUGUAGCCCCUUUAGAAACUCAGGUGUCCUGGUCACCUCCUACCCCCAGGGCUGACUAGCCUUCAGCUUGGCAGUCCCUGCCCCUGGGGCCCUGGUAACCAGAGCCAGGCUCCAGCCGGCUUUUCCGGUUAGAGGUUGGAGGUGGUGCCCAGAGUGCCCCUGG
rnacentral:lncRNA from 1 species